rnacentral:rRNA from 1 species
CUACGGGGUGCACCAGUCGGGAGUUUUCUGCAAUGCACGAAAGUGUGACAGAGCGAGCCAGAGUGUUUUUCCGUAUUGGAAAAGCUUUUGUGAGAUGUAAAAAGUCUUACGAAUAAGGACUGGGCAAGACUGGUGCCAGCCGCCGCGGUAAUACCAGCGGUCCAAGUCGCAACCACAUUUAUUGGGUCUAAAACAUCCGUAGCUUGUUGUUUAAGUCUCUUGUGAAAUCUCAUCUCUUAAAGAUGGAAGUGCGAGAGAUACUGAACAGCUAGAGACUGGGAGACGUAAGAAGAACGGUUAGGGUAACGGUUAAAUGUGUUGAUCCUUUCUGGACUAACGAUAGCGAAGGCAUCUUACGAGAACAGAUCUGACAGUAAGGGAUGAAGGCUAGGGUCGCAAAACGGAUUAGAUACCCUGGUAGUC